GACAGAGGGUGCAAACGUUGUUCGGAAUUACUGGGCGUAAAGCGUGUGUAGGCGGCUAGGUAAGUCGGAUGUGAAAGCCCCGGGCUCAACUCGGGAAGUGCACUCGAUACUGCUUAGCUCGCGUACCGGAGAGGUUGGUGGAAUUCUCGGUGUAGAGGUGAAAUUCGUAGAUAUCGAGAGGAACACCGGUGGCGAAGGCGGCCAACUGGACGAGUACUGACGCUGAGACACGAAAGCGUGGGGAGCAAACAGG
rnacentral:rRNA from 1 species